UUGUGUUAGUAUCAGUUUGGGCAUAGUGGGCUCAGGCUGGUGUCUCCUCUCUCCUUGUUUACAGCCAUAUCUUACUUUGCUGUAUUUUGAAUGCAUCAAAUAAUGGGUCGUCACUUUUCAAUUUAUCGCGGAACGAAUAAUGAAUUGUGUAAGUGUUUCGGUUUGGAAGGCAGAAAAAUGACCAGAUUAUUGUCACCCUUUGGCCUAGAAUAACAAAGUUCGCGGCACCCUGAAUGUAGAAAGAUCUAGUUCUAGUUUGCAAUUCAAAGUGGCAAGAUGACGGCUAGACGGCUUGCCUAUGAGUAGCUAGCCGUACUUAAGUACAGCUAGCCUAGCCGUCUAGCCUUAUGCCUACUUAAGUACGGCUAGCCUGCCAGUCUAGCCGUACUAAGGUUAGGCCCUGUUGACUGAAACCUGUUUUGGCCCUGGUCAUAUCAUAGGUCGCAUCUGUUGGCCCCGGUCGUAUCAAAGGUCCCGUUUGGAGUGUGGACUUGUAGGCGUAAAGCCAAGUUUGAAGUUUCAUUUCUUCGACCUUGACUUGGCAUGAUUCAACAAUGGCUAUUACUGUCGGCAAGACGUUUUCAUCAUUUGAACUGUUGGAAAACGCAAUGGAAAAAUUGGCUGCUGAGACUGACACAGUUUUUAUACGUCAAGAUUUUGUCAAGCUCAGCCCAAAUGAGAGCUGUACUGAAAGAGGUCAGUGGGACUUGGUCAUUUGUUCUGACCAAGGUAAAGGUUGAUCAUGACACCUCUACUCCAUCAAAAGAGGCUCUCGCUGUAUUUUCCGAGACAAGAAAGACCUGGGAUAGAGCUUCUCCUGGGAUGUCCUAGUGUUUCGGCCCAGGACAUAGUCAAGGUUGUAAAAAUGGAACAAGGGAAGCAUGUCCUUACCAAGGAUGUCUAUAAUCUUCUCCAAAGGCAUCGGGGUCAUAAAUAAUCAGAUGCUUCUGAAGUAGAGUCCACUCUCCACGCUCCAUUCCAUUGUGUACGGUGGUGGAGUAGUAGAUUUCAGUGUGGACUCGCUGGGUCAUUUGAAGUAUCUGUCGUAUACUACUAAAGACAUGAUGGCACUGGCCAGUAAUUUUAGUGAGAUCCUCAUAAUGGACAUUACUUAUGACAAAUGUGAGGCAUUGUGGUGAAAUCAGGCGCUCGUCAAAACUAUAAAAUCAAAGAAA